rnacentral:rRNA from 1 species
UGUAAGCGUAUACCAAAGUUGUUGCAGUUAAAACGCUCGUAGUCGGAAUUUGGCAGUUCCGGAUGUGUGCACGUCGUGUGCGCACUUCGCGGGGAUUGCUUUUGUGGUCUUGCGUAGGAUGAGGCACUUUUAUUAGUGAACGUCCUCACGCAACCACUUUUUACUGUGAGAAAAUCAGAGUGCCCAAAGCAGGCAUUUGCCGUGAAUGUAUUAGCAUGGAAUAAUAGAAUAGGACAUGGUUCUAUUUUGUUGGUUUGUUGGGACUGAGUAAUGAUUAAGAGGGACAGUUGGGGGCAUUUGUAUUUCGGUGCUAGAGGUGAAAUUCUUAGAUUACCGAAAGACAAACUGCUGCGAAAGCGUCUGCCAAGGAUGUUUUCAUUGA